rnacentral:rRNA from 1 species
UGGGGAAUAUUGCACAAUGGGGGAAACCCUGAUGCAGCCAUGCCGCGUGUGUGAAGAAGGCCUUCGGGUUGUAAAGCACUUUCAGCGAGGAGGAAAGGUGGCUAGCUAAUACCUAGUUGCUGUGACGUUACUCGCAGAAGAAGCACCGGCUAACUCCGUGCCAGCAGCCGCGGUAAUACGGAGGGAGCAAGCGUUAAUCGGAAUUACUGGGCGUAAAGCGCACGCAGGCGGUCAGAUAAGUCAGAUGUGAAAGCCCCGGGCUCAACCUGGGAACUGCAUUUGAAACUGUCGUACUAGAGGCUUGUAGAGGGGGGUAGAAUUCCAGGUGUAGCGGUGAAAUGCGUAGAGAUCUGGAGGAAUACCGGUGGCGAAGGCGGCCCCCUGGACAAAGACUGACGCUCAGGUGCGAAAGCGUGGGGAGCAAACA